UGGGGAAUUUUGGACAAUGGGGGCAACCCUGAUCCAGCCAUGCCGCGUGCGGGAAGAAGGCCUUCGGGUUGUAAACCGCUUUUGUCCGGAAAGAAAAGGCAACCCCUAAUACGGGGUGCUCUUGACGGUACCGGAAGAAUAAGCACCGGCUAACUACGUGCCAGCAGCCGCGGUAAUACGUAGGGUGCGAGCGUUAAUCGGAAUUACUGGGCGUAAAGCGUGCGCAGGCGGUUCGUGAUGUCUGAUGUGAAAGCCCCGGGCUUAACCUGGGAAUUGCAUUGGAAACUAGCGGGCUGGAGUGUGGCAGAGGGGGGUGGAAUUCCACGUGUAGCAGUGAAAUGCGUAGAGAUGUGGAGGAACACCGAUGGCGAAGGCAGCCCCCUGGGCUAACACUGACGCUCAUGCACGAAAGCGUGGGGAGCAAACAGGAUUAGAUACCCGCGUAGUCC
rnacentral:rRNA from 1 species